UCAAGAACAAUGUUUUGCUGCUCUUUUUGCACCGACUGUAACUUAUUUAGAUAAGACAAAGACAGACGACUGUGACGUCACUAAUGCGACAAGUUGUGGGUUGAACAAGUGUUGUGUAUAUAAGAUUAUUAUCAACAGGUCGCAGAAUUCUAUUGUAGAAAGGAGGCAAAUAUGCCAGUCAACCAGAAUGGACGGGGAACUAUGUUUACUGAAUACAGAUCAUUUGAUAUGUCCUUGUCGUGAAGAAUACAUGUGCAAAAUAGAAAAUAACAACAAUUUUGGACAUUGCAAAUAAAAAAGAUCACAAUUAA